GGCGAACGCUGGCGGCGUGCCUAAUACAUGCAAGUAGAACGCUGAAGGAGGAGCUUGCUCUUCUGGAUGAGUUGCGAACGGGUGAGUAACGCGUAGGUAACCUGCCUGGUAGCGGGGGAUAACUAUUGGAAACGAUAGCUAAUACCGCAUAACAGUAGAUGUUGCAUGACAUUUACUUAAAAGGUGCAAUUGCAUCACUACCAGAUGGACCUGCGUUGUAUUAGCUAGUUGAUGGGGUAACGGCUCACCAAGGCGACGAUACAUAGCCGACCUGAGAGGGUGAUCGGCCACACUGGGACUGAGACACGGCCCAGACUCCUACGGGAGGCAGCAGUAGGGAAUCUUCGGCAAUGGACGGAAGUCUGACCGAGCAACGCCGCGUGAGUGAAGAAGGUUUUCGGAUCGUAAAGCUCUGUUGUAAGAGAAGAACGAGUGUGAGAGUGGAAAGUUCACACUGUGACGGUAUCUUACCAGAAAGGGACGGCUAACUACGUG
rnacentral:rRNA from 1 species